UACCGAGUGAGGGCCCUCUGGGUCCACCUCCCACCCGUGUUUAUUUUACCUUGUUGCUUCGGCGGGCCCGCCUUAACUGGCCGCCGGGGGGCUCACGCCCCCGGGCCCGCGCCCGCCGAAGACACCCUCGAACUCUGUCUGAAGAUUGUAGUCUGAGUGAAAAUAUAAAUUAUUUAAAACUUUCAACAACGGAUCUCUUGGUUCCGGCAUCGAUGAAGAACGCAGCGAAAUGCGAUACGUAAUGUGAAUUGCAAAUUCAGUGAAUCAUCGAGUCUUUGAACGCACAUUGCGCCCCCUGGUAUUCCGGGGGGCAUGCCUGUCCGAGCGUCAUUGCUGCCCUCAAGCACGGCUUGUGUGUUGGGCCCCGUCCUCCGAUCCCGGGGGACGGGCCCGAAAGGCAGCGGCGGCACCGCGUCCGGUCCUCGAGCGUAUGGGGCUUUGUCACCCGCUCUGUAGGCCCGGCCGGCGCUUGCCGAUCAACCCAAAUUUUUAUCCAGGUUGACCUCGGAUCACGUAGGGAUACCCGCUGAACUUAAGCAUAUC
rnacentral:rRNA from 1 species